UCGAUUAGAUACCCCCGUAGUCCCAGCUGUAAACUAUGCUCGCUAGGUGUCAGGGACGGUGCGACCGUUUCUGGUGCCGCAGGGAAGCCGUGAAGCGAGCCACCUGGGAAGUACGGUCGCAAGGCUGAAACUUAAAGGAAUUGGCGGGGGAGCACUACAACGGGUGGAGCCUGCGGUUUAAUUGGACUCAACGCCGGAAAACUCACCGGGGGCGACAGCAAUAUGUAGGUCAAGCUAAAGACUUUACCAGAAUCGCUGAGAGGUGGUGCAUGGCA
rnacentral:rRNA from 1 species